rnacentral:misc_RNA from 1 species
GAAAAAAAUAAAUGGCUCUGAAAUGAUUGCAUCAGGCCUUGCAACUCAUUUUGUUUAUUCAAAGGAUAUUGAGUCGAUGGAAAAUGAAUUAUGCCAAGUAUUAUCACUAAACGCAUCAUCGAAAUCUGUUCAUGAAUCGGACAUUUUAAGAAUCAUAAAUGAAUUCGUUCGUAAUCCAGUGUUGAAGGAAGGAAGUAUAUUGAAAAGACUUGAUGCUAUCAAUCGUUG